rnacentral:rRNA from 1 species
AUUGAACGCUGGCGGCAUGCCUUACACAUGCAAGUCGAACGGUAACAGGUUAAGCUGACGAGUGGCGAACGGGUGAGUAAUGUAUCGGAACGUGCCCAGUCGUGGGGGAUAACUGCUCGAAAGAGCAGCUAAUACCGCAUACGACCUGAGGGUGAAAGCGGGGGAUCGCAAGACCUCGCGCGAUUGGAGCGGCCGAUAUCAGAUUAGGUAGUUGGUGAGGUAAAGGCUCACCAAGCCGACGAUCUGUAGCUGGUCUGAGAGGACGACCAGCCACACUGGGACUGAGACACGGCCCAGACUCCUACGGGAGGCAGCAGUGGGGAAUUUUGGACAAUGGGCGCAAGCCUGAUCCAGCCAUGCCGCGUGCGGGAAGAAGGCCUUCGGGUUGUAAACCGCUUUUGUCAGGGAAGAAAAGGUUCUGGCUAAUACCUGGGACUCAUGACGGUACCUGAAGAAUAAGCAGCGGCUAACUACGUG